ACUAUUUAAGUCGACGAACUGAAAUUGCUUCCCUCAUUCGUAGACUGGGUUUGGUCUUGUUCCAUAUCAACUUUCCACAAUGAAAAUAUUUAGUGAAGUAUUUCUUUUCGCACUGCUCGCCCUGUUGGGAUUGGCGAGCGCGGUUACGCCUACCCCAGACCCAAGCACCGUAGACCUUGAGCGUCCUGAUAAAUGAAGUAUAAAACCCCUGUAAAUGAAGCAGCAUGGUUGUUAAUAAAGCAGUUAUCGAGUAACGAACCCACAUUCCGGAGAUGUGCUUCGGAUGCUCGUAACAGUGGCAUACAA